CAUCAGGCUCAUUUUCGGGGGUCUGUCGCCCAUGUGCUGCUUUCAUGGUAAAGGAUAAAGGCAAAGAUCUACAGGAUGACAAAAGCAACAACAAAAAUGGCCAUUUGCAUCAUCCAGAAUUGCUUAUUAAACACUAGAAGAACAAAAGCCAUCGAAGACAGUCCAGAUUUCCCUCCUGAGGUGCUCCUACUUCUUCUCCCCUGGAUGCACCUGCCAGAAGGAACCACGGUCAUGGCUUUGUAAAAUUAAGCAGCAGAGAGGAAGGCAGGAAACUUUACAGGGCAAACAAAAGGAGCAGAGAACAGCACUGGGGCUCUUAUCAAAAGCUGUCAGCUGGGAAGUGUAAUUGUAUUUUAUCCAGUUCCCUUGAAGCCUUCUCCCAAGUCCUCGGCAGUGGAGCAGGAACAGCCUGGCAGUUUGAGGCAGAGUUAUCAGUGGCACAAGAUAACAAGAGGGGAACCAAAUUGUCCAGCAGAAAAAUCUCCACUGCUGCAAGAAGUGAAAUCAGGGGGCUCUGCAAAAUGUAUGAUGUCCCCAUGUCACCACCACCUGGUUUGUGGGCCCUGCUGAAGAGCAGGGAAAUGCUCAGUAUUGAUUGCGUUUAGACUUUUGGCUUCCUCGUACUUUCACUCUCCAAAUUCAGCCAAAAAUAGGUUAUUACUUCAACAAGGUCAGUUUCCCCAACGGAAUUGUGGAGUAUUAUGUGGAUAAACAUGGGAGCAGGAGUGGAGAGUUCAAGGUUUACUGAGUGUCGAGAAGCUGCGACCACAACAGGGAGGCUGCAGUGAGAAAAGCCAAGCCUGGCUGGAAACCCACAAAACACAGAAAUCAAAGCAGCCAUUAAAAAGACAGUGUUACAAAGGGAAAAAAAAGGGAGUGCAGACAACAGAGUGAAUACACGUUAGAAAAUGUGAAAUGUAGGAAACUUGGAGAUGAAAGGAAAACCCUUGAAAGGGAAAUUAAUGAUAAACUGCUUAUUAUUUUGUUGUUGUUGCUGCUCUUUAGUUGUUACCCAAGAAAGAUCUUAGAAACAAGAGCAGCUCUUUGGUAAAGGAGCAGAUUAAACCAAAUACUAAUGAGGAAGCACUUGCUGAGAAACCUCCUCAACUGGAAUCACACACAGAUAUGCUCCUGGUGCUCCCUGCGCUGCUGCAGGAAUGUGUUCCACGCAUCCCACGUGGAUAUUUACAUCAGCAGAGCCAGAUAAACCCUGAUGGGAGCCCAGUGAGAGGUGACUGAUAAGCCUGACCCAUUUUGGAGAAGCUUCCCAGUGCUUCAAACUCCAGGGAAGGCCAAGGAGUCAGGAAAACCCUUUACCUCUAGGAGCUCCUGGCACGAGCAGCUGUCCUGAGCCAGAGGCUGACCCGGCCUGGGCUCCAGCAAAGCAACUCUUUAUCAGCUCUUCCUUCACCGGGGAAGAAUUAGAAGGCAGAAGUGUACUUAAUCCCAGUCAAUAAGGUUUUUUGGGAAGGUAAAUCCUGUCCGGAGUUGCUUCCAUUAAAGAGAUUAUAGUUAUUAAGGCAGCUGAGGAGAGCUAAUGAGCUUUUGGAUUUAAGGCUGCUAAGCAUCCUGAUUUAAAAGUUUGGAGUUAAACAGUGCCAAAUAAAUGAUUUUGCAGGGAUUAAGGAUUUACUAACAGUCCUCAAGGUCAGAAACGCAGCUACUGAGUGGGGCUACUUUGAGCUGGGAGUCGCUGCCAGACCGCAGUGAAGCCUUUGAGCUUGGGAGUUUCCCUCCAUGCCGAUCACAUUCCAGCACUUAUCCCUGUGGAUUCUGUUGGCCAUCUUCUCUAUGCCCAGCCGGGAGGUGGCUCCAGCAGCCCUGUGAUUCAGGUAUUCCCCAGGAGAGGGCACAGACAUCCGUACAGAAUUCCCUGGCUCCCUGCACAUACCUGCACAGCCACCGCUCCACCGUAGGCAAUUCCCAAUUUACUUGGUGCGUUAACACCCAAAAUGCACAGUUAGACAUGAAGGAGGAAUCCAGCACCCGUUUCUUCUCCUCCUUGAGGAAUUUCAGCAGCAUUGGAGCCACAGGAGUUGGGCUCCCUGCUUCCACAUCCUUCUGGGAGCUCCCUUUUGGAGCCUGGAAUCCCAGGAUGGUUUGGGUUGGAAGGGACCUUAAAAACAUCCAGUUCCACCUUCCACUAAACCAGGUUCCUCCAAGUUUAUGCAGCCUGGCCUGGAACAUUCCCAGGUGGAAAUCCCUCAACAGGAACAGCACCUGACAAUCUGCAGAUCCAUCCAUGGGGAUUUUUGCUUAUGGAUAUGUCUUCAUGGAUUCUCAUUCACACAGAAUUCCUUGCUUCUCUCCCAUGGCUGAGCAGGCUUCAAGAUCUGUCCUUUGUUGAGAGAGAGGGAGCAAAAAAGAUCAGAUUCAUAAAGCAGCUUUGACUUUUCCCAACCCCACUGCCCUGCUCUGACUAACUCAUUUAUUACUCAGUAACCCCUACUAAGGGUUAGCAUUUACUAUAACCCUUACUCAGGGUUGUUACUCCAAAGGCUACUGGGUUUUGUAUCCCCACCCCCCUACUCCCCUAAAGAGCAGGAAAAUACAGUUUCCAGGAGAACGCUCCAAUCUACGUGCUGUUUGCAGGCAAGGGAAGCUACAAUUAACACACCUUUCGCCUGAAUUUCCCCCAAACGUGAACUGCAGCUUUAUCAAUUGCAGUCAGAAUUAAUGCUAAUAAUCCAAUUAAAUGUAAGGCAAGUCUAAUUAAGGUAAAUGAAGGAUUUCACUGGCAACAUUAAGAACAUUUAAAAUUAGCAAGAAGGAAAAAAAGGCUGUGAAACACCUGGGGACUGAGUAUACUCGGGAGCCAGGCCUAAUUUUUUGCCUUAAUAGCUAGAAAAUCCCCUUUUUUAAGGUGCACAGUGCAGUGGGAAGUAUUGAUCAGGGGCUCAAUAACAGGUCUGGGGUCUAUUCCGGGGGUUCACAGGCUCAUCCUGCCCCAAGUGAGGAUGGAGAGCUCAGGAUCAGCAUCUCCUGCAGGUCCCCUCCUUGUUACUCAGCUCCCACACGAGUAUUAAAAACCUCCAAAUGCUUAUUUUCAGACUGAUGACUGAAAUAGCCUGCACAGCUCUGCCAGGCAGAUUUAAACCAUCCACAUGCAUCUCCCAAUGCAAAUGGCAGCCUGAAGCACUUGAGAAAGCCUUCAAAACAUCAACUCAACUCCUUUCACCUCAUGUCUCACCACUCUGCAGAUUUAAUUGUAGGUUUGACUGUUGCUGCACAGCUCUAAGUAAAGUAUUGAUUCCAAUCUCGUUCAUAAACACAAGGCAAGUUUUCUGCACCUGGAAUCCCCCUCUUCCCUGAGCAUUCUCCCACCUCACCUGAGUUUGCCAGCACUCAGAAAAUGUAACAACUCACCUUGACUUUUGAAUUAAUGACUAAAAAGAAUGGGAUAAAAGAGCAUUUUAAAAUUACACCCUCAGCAGUGGGGCUGUGGAUUCAUCACUCAAAAGCCACCAGGGAAAUCUCUUCACCUGGAGCCUGGAUCACCCACAAAGGUUGGACUAAGCUCCUCUCAGAGGCCAGAAGCUCUGGUUGCUCCUCAGGAAGCUUUGCAGUCAGCCUGGAGUCACCUGUGGUUGAGACACAAACAGCUUCCCAGGAGAAAGAAAACACUGAAGAUAUUUGGCUUUAAUAUCUAAAGAUAUAUAGGUUUAUGUAUAAAGAAAAAUCUAAUUAAAAAAUAUAAGAGUUGCACAGUGUAAAGAAGACACUAAGUUUUAACACAGCUUCAUUAGUAAUAAUUUUGGGGUUGUUUUUAAAGAACCUAGGCAGUGCUGCACCCCCCAAAACCAUUAAGGCCACCCAGUUUCUCUCCUGUAAAGGAAGGGGAAGUGGCACCACCUUCACUUUUAGAUAAGCUCAUUACUUAAGAUCCUUUAAUUGACUUCACAUUUCCAAGUGUGAAGUUGUUCUUUGAGUUAAUUAAUAAACAAUGAUCAGACCAGCCAUUUAUCUACUUUAAAAAGGUGAGGUGUUUAUUUUUGUAGGGAAUAAAAAUAAAUUGUAAUACAAGUGAAACUUCCUGGGACAAAUACAUUUAGAGAGAAAAAAACACAGUGCUUCUCUAGAGAUGGACAAUUAUUUUUUCAAGCAGCGCACGAACCAAACUGACACACAGGGCCAUCAUGGAACGUUCUGGAACAGGGGGUUUCACCACCCACACCUUACACAACUGUCCCUCAGCAGUGACACAGACAAACAGCAACACUGACAUUUCCAGCCAGCACUACACACAGUUUUGGGAAUGUUCCUACAAAGAUCAGUUUGUGGACGACAGGGAAGGUCCGUCUGGGCUCGGGAUGGGAUCCAGUGCUACGAGUUACUCCAGGAGUAUCUGCUACAUUAAAUACAGAUGCAUUUACAGAGAGAAAUGGUGGGAGAGACACACCACCCACUGCCCUCCUGCCCCGCUCCUGCACUGCAGAGGGGCCAUUAAAUUAAUGUAAUUAUUAACUGGACGUCAAGUUAAUGUAAUUAUUACAACACCUGCACCAACAAAUGACACCGACUGCUGCUGGCACCUACCUGGCUGCCUGAACAUGGACUUAACAUAACCUAGUCCCUCAGCUAAUUCAUCAAGCUCUGGGUAGUAAUUAAAACUGGUACAUUCAGAGCAGCUUCUUCCCCCCAGGGAAGUGCCUGGAUGUGCGUGAGGGCUGGGAUGUAAACAAGGAAUAACUGGGUUGGUCCCUACAAAAACAACCCCAGCACCCAGAGUUGUGGGACAGGCAGGAGUGACACAGACACUGCAGGAAUUCUCCUGGUCCCUCAUGGAUAUCCAUUACUACACUGUGCCAAGGAAUGAUCCUUUGGGUGGUGACCCUCAGGGACUGGGGCUGCCCAAGGACCAGGCAGCAGCGCCUGGAACAGGAGCUCUUCCCUUGGAAAUGCUUAUCCUCUGGGUGCUGCAGCUUUGGGAGCUCCUGCCAGGGCUCUGUGUCUCCAAACCUGCUGGGUUCAGCAGUCACAGGGCUCUCCAGCAUGGAGAUUCCAACCUGUAACCCCACAAGGUCUCACUCCAGGUGGAAAUCCUCUGAAGCACACCUUCAGCUCCUGGCAAAUCCUGCUCUCCAGGAUUCCAGAAGCUUCCUGAAGAAACUGAAGACAAGCAAAGCUUCCCAGCUGCCUCCAAGCAAGUGUCCUCCUCUAUCCCAGGCAUUUUUGCACCAGCCACACUGCAGGGGGAGUUUUCUUCCAAGGACUUAACUCAGCCAACCACUGAGCACAGGAACAGACCAGGCAGCCAGGAGGAAACUACACCUAAACCUUUAACAGACUGCUUUUUCUCACCUAUUAAGAGGCCAGUGGAGAACUAAAACUAUGGACAAACCCAUUAUUCCCUUUUUUUUUCAGCAGAGCAAACAGCACCCAUUGCAUUUUCUCUGCCAACUGCAAAACAAAACACAGUUUAAGGAUCCACCAGAGUGAAGUUGACAUUAAGACAUUUCAACUGAGAAAUGAAGUUCCACAGGUCCCUCUUCUACUUCAAAGUAGUAGUUUUAACAUAGAAUGUGACCUACUGCAAGGUUACACCUGGUUGUAGCAGGAGGGACACUGAGCACAGGCAGGAGGGUCCUGGGGAAGCCUUGGAGGGACCUGGUGGAGCCAGAGGAGCUCCAGAAAAGAACCAGCUUUACACAAACAGAGCCCACCCACAGCAAACCACAUCCCUUCUCCCUCCCAGUUCUCCCAGUCAGAAGAAUCCAAAUGGAAGGAAGUUGCAUUGUUCACUCAAGAGCUCCAAAUAAAAGCAGGAUUUCUGACCUCAGGACGCAGGGAAGCUCCACUAGGAAUAAAUAAGUCACAGUGACUCUCAUACAGGGCUUGCUGAAGCAGAUUCCUAUGUAACAGCUUUUCCACUCCUUUAACACUUCCAGGAAACAGAGAAUCAAGUCAGCAGGGCGUUCCAUGAGGAGGGAACAUAGGCUUCUUGGAAUGCUUCAGGAAGGAGAUCCCACCUGACCUUCAUUUUUGGUCUUCAAGCACCCCAGAGUUACCAUCAAAACUAAAAAGCUUCUUGCUAAUGGCUUUUCAAACCAAUAAGCUCAUGGAAAGCCAGGAAAGCCUGGAAUCUUUUCCAGCUUCAUAAAUUACAGCACCAGCAUGAAUGAUUUUUAAUACACUGGAGGUUUGACCAAGUCUGUACACAUUAAAUGCAAGAGGUUUAAAAAGACAGGACAUGAAUUUUUGCAUUUCCAAGUAUAAAGUCACCCAUUGUUCUGUCACUGAAGUCGAAAGCAGAUAGGUUACUACAAGCUUACUAACACUUGCAGGGUCUGAAGUGACCUGGUGGUGGUUACACACACCUGUAGUAACAUUGUAGUCAAGAAGAUUUGUAGAGAUCAGGAAUAAUUAAUAAUAAUUAAACUUUCUCAAGGUAAUCUGUGGCAAUUCCAAAGAUGAGGCAACGUGUAAACAUUUACGGAAUCCUCCUGUAAGCUGGUUUUACACAAUAAUUAAUCAAUGGCAUGUCUAAAACCUUCAGGAGUCAGUCAAAACCCUCUACAAUUCUGUAUCUCUAAUGAAAAUCAGAGAUAUUAAAGAUAUUAAAAGAACUGAUGAUCUCUAGAAUACUUGGUCCUAAAAAAUGCCUUUCUGGGCCUCAUUUCCCAUUUGAGAUUGCUCCAAGAAGCCAGUACAUUCUUGUACCACCUGGAAAAAAGAGACAGAGGCUGAUCUGUAAGUCAUAGCUGGGGCAGCAUUUCGUGUGCUUGGUUUUUAAUCAAUCAUUUCAGCUUCCACUCCUUCCUUGAAAACAACUCUAUUAUUUGCUUUAUGACUGACAACCCCCCAGUAUUAAAAAACUUCCUCUUUGCCACUCCAGGCAGUGAAGGAACUCUGUGUUCUUGCCCCUUUAGAGUCUUUUGACAUGCUUAAUAAAAUAGAUAUUUUCUCACCCAAAGUGAGACACUCAGGGGACUUUUUGGUUGCUUUUUUUCUACUUUACCUUGAAGACCAAACCUCACCCAGUGAUUUCACCCUGGGUUAUAAACACAAUGAGGGGCAGAUACUGCAUUUUAUGAUGCUAUAAUGGAAUGUUUCUACUUCUUACUGGAGAUUGGGAAGGCUCACUUCAAUAUUUGCUUCAUAAAAGAGAAAAACUGAUUUUAAAACUUAACAGCAGCACCUAAACAACAGUUUCAAGAGCAAGCAAAAAAGCAUCCUGAAUUAACUGCACAAAGGGACUCUGUGCAAUUAAGAACAUCUGUAGAAGCUUGUCCAGAACGUGGAAUGUGGGACAGUUUUCCUGGGGGUGGAACAUCCUCCACCUCUCCCAGGCCACGCUGUGAUCUCAGAAAUGCUCCUUAGGCCUUGGCCUUCACAAACAGCACCUGGGCUGAACUCUUGAGCUCUUCAAAAACAGUCUGUUCCCAGGAACUCUGCUGGAUAAUGAGCUCCUGGUUUUUAACCAACAGCCUUGGAAACUGAUUUUUCUUGCCUGAACAAGUUGAACAACAUUUUUAUUGAUUUUUAAACAUUGUUUAUUGAUCUCGCAAAGAACGUUAUUGACCCAGGUCAGGAUGGAAAAUGACUGUGACUAAAGCCAAAUCAGGGGUCCUGAGUGAGACCCUUGGAGCUCUCCUAGACCACAGGUGGCUGCACCAGCAUCUCCCUUGGAGCAGGACACCUCUCAGAGCCACAAAACUCUCAAGUUUGCUCUACUUGGAGGAGCCAGGGCUGAAACCUCAACCCUUUGCCCGCUGAGAACAUGCAAAGGCAUCCAACACUGAAGUCCUUCACUGAAUUCCAGGGGAAUUUCUCCCAGGGAUAUACCUGUACACACUCCUUUAGGGCUGUGGGAUGCAACAGCAAAUGGACUGGGAAUGUUGUUCUCCUGGAUUCUUAAGUACUUUAGAGCUGUUCAGCCUCCAAGGGAGUUGUGCUUUUAGUAAAUCCUCCAGGAAACCUUUGGUAAAUUGUUUACCUCCAGCUAUGGAUUCAGUGCUGUUAAGUUUAAGUGCUGCUUAUGAUUCUACAAAACCUUUAGCCCUAAACUGUUGGUCAAGCCCAGGGCCCAGUUUGGCAGUGUGGUCUACUCUGAACCUUGUGCCUCCACAGGAGGCUCUCCCUUAUUCCUUCUUAUCCUGACCCUUUUCCAUCCCCAGCCUCCAGGUGGAUAAUUUUUGGUUGGUUUUGGUUUUACAAUGAUUUAUUUUCUCUUUUAGUGUGCUUUUUCUGCGUGUGCUUUAACCAUGUAUAUGAAGCAGUAGAGUGAACCUUGCCAAUGAACUUGGUCACACUUCUACUGUUCCAUGAAACCUGCUUUUGCUGGGGGUUCUUUGAGGGACCUUCAGACACUCAUUUGUGACAGGGACACCCAU